rnacentral:rRNA from 1 species
UACGAAGGGGGCUAGCGUUGCUCGGAAUCACUGGGCGGAAAGGGCGCGUAGGCGGCCAUUCAAGUCGGGGGUGAAAGCCUGUGGCUCAACCACAGAAUUGCCUUCGAUACUGUUUGGCUUGAGUUUGGUAGAGGUUGGUGGAACUGCGAGUGUAGAGGUGAAAUUCGUAGAUAUUCGCAAGAACACCAGUGGCGAAGGCGGCCAACUGGACCAAUACUGACGCUGAGGCGCGAAAGCGUGGGGAGCAAACAGG